rnacentral:rRNA from 1 species
GACGAACGCUGGCGGCGUGCUUAACACAUGCAAGUCGAACGGAAAGGCCCUGCUUUUGUGGGGUGCUCGAGUGACGAACGGGUGAGUAACACGUGAGUAACCUGCCCUUGACUUUGGGAUAACUUCAGGAAACUGGGGCUAAUACCGGAUAGGAGCUCCUGCUGCAUGGUGGGGGUUGGAAAGUUUCGGCGGUUGGGGAUGGACUCGCGGCUUAUCAGCUUGUUGGUGGGGUAGUGGCUUACCAAGGCUUUGACGGGUAGCCGGCCUGAGAGGGUGACCGGCCACAUUGGGACUGAGAUACGGCCCAGAUUCCUACGGGAGGCAGCAGUGGGGAAUAUUGCACAAUGGGCGGAAGCCUGAUGCAGCAACGCCGCGUGCGGGAUGACGGCCUUCGGGUUGUAAACCGCUUUCGCCUGUGACGAAGCGUGAGUGACGGUAAUGGGUAAAGAAGCACCGGCUAACUACGUG